rnacentral:rRNA from 1 species
UACAUAGGGGGCAAGCGUUAUCCGGAAUUACUGGGUGUAAAGGGUGCGUAGGCGGUCAUGUAAGUCAGAUGUGAAAACCCAAGGCUUAACUUUGUGAAUGCAUUUGAAACUAUGUGACUAGAGGACAUGAGAGGUAAGUAGAAUUUCUAGUGUAGCUGUAAAAUGCGUAGAUAUUAGUAAGAACACCAGUGGCGAAAGCGUCUUACUGGACUGACACUGACGCUGAGGCACGAACGCUUGGAGCGAUAACACG